UUGCUGCCACAUCAUUUUGCCCUUUUCCCCUUUUUAUUAAAAUAUUUUGGCGGAGCCUCAUUCGAAACGCUACAAUCCCAUGCCCAUUCAACCAGCCUUGCGACUCCAUCAGCGCCAUCCCACUUACCGGCAUGUCCUCUCCGGCCAGCUUCUUGACCGACGACCCUCUCUCACACUCCCUCGGGUAUGCUUUCCCUGUCUAUUUUUUUUUUUCUUUUCCAUUCACUCUCUCUAUUUGUCCUUCUGCCAUCCGUUGUUUGUUUGCGAGUCUCGAAGCAAUUUUGGCCGAGGGUUUUUGUUUGGAGCUUCCCUCUUUCACGGCUCUAACGGACUUUCUCUCUCUUUAAUGCCUGCCUCUUUCUCUCCGUUUUGGUUGAGCUAAAGCCAAAUUGCGCAACCGUUCUCUCUCUCUCUCUCUCUCUGUGUCUCUUUUUCUUUCUCUUUUCUCUCUUUCUGUCUGUGUUGAAGAUCCGUGAGAUUCUUCUACGCGGGAGGUUUUUUCCAUUUUUUCUUUUUUAAUUAAGUAAUAGGAGAUGUGAGCUUCUUGGAUCCUUCGUCUCUCACUGGCUGUUGUUGCUUCUGUCGUGUGGUUUUUUUUUUUUUUUUUUUUUUGGGUCCGAAGUUUUCGAUCCAGGCUUCUUACUUGUUUUUCUUCUUCGUUACGAUUUUUUUUUUAAAUUUUUUUUUGGGGGUUUGAGUGGAGGUUUUUGAUGAAAGAAAAUGGAACAUUUUCCGACUAAGAGGUCCAAGAUUGCCAACAUUUUUGGAGCUCGGUUUCUAAGGAAUAAGGUCUAUUUUUCUUUUUUCUCUUUGUGUUUUUAUUGGGGAAAUUUUUUUGUUUGUUUGGCGAGAAAACCGAGGAAGCUAAGAAAUGGAACUGAGAAGGUUAGCUUUGAACCAGUGCCCAAUUCAUUUGCAGUAGUUAAGAGUUCUUUUGCUUCAGUAAUCACCAGCACCAGAACCAUAUACACCAGGAGCCAUUGCAGAAGAAGCAACUUAUGUCUCAUCUGUUCUAUAUUUGUGAAUUUAGUGGAUGAAGCUUGAGAGAUAUGUUUUAUAUCAGUGUUUUUCUUUAUCAAGUUUAUUUGGAAAAGAAUUUUGGGGAAAAAUUCUCAUGGGGAUGAAUAAUAUUUUGGCCUUUGGGUCUGCCGAGGUUUAUUAUGGAUGGGCUCCUUGAAAUACUUCUCAUCCAGGUAUGCAGUUGGUGCACAAGAACUUGUAUUAUUCUCUUUUGAACUUGAAAGACUACCUCAAAGUGCCUAGUUGAGAAGAAAGGUGCAAAGUUUCAGAAAAAACAUCAUUAAGAGGGGAUCAUUUAUUGUAUAGAUGCUGUAAUUUGCUUUUAAUUAUCUGAUUUAGGAAUUAUAGUUGCUAUUAUUAUUUGUAGCCUGUAAACAUACUAGGUUGGUUUUCUUUUGAUUUUGCUUGUUAUAUAAACUUCUUUAAAUUUCAGGAAUUUAAGGAUCAAAGUCAAGUUUAAUCAAUUGAGUACGUGUUUAAAAUUAAUGCAAUGAUGAGUUCAGUGCGAGAUUUGUCUCCACUGCAGCCCACAUCACUACUGUUACUUGUAAUUGCUUAUAGAUUUUGUUGCCUAUACGACACCAAAUAAUUGUUUUAAUUAUGUAAUGACAAUUGUCCGCAUGUAAAGACAAUUAUUGCUUUUCAUAAAUAUUUAGUCUCGGUGUUAUAAGAAUUUGCUUAUUUGCUUUCUA